rnacentral:rRNA from 1 species
GAUCCUGGCUUAGGAUUAACGCUGGCGGCAUGCCUAAUACAUGCAAGUCGAAUGGAAGAGCUUGCUUUCCAUGGCGAACGGGUGAGUAACACGUAGGUAACCUACCUUAAGGACGAGGAUAACCUUUGGAAACGAAGGAUAAUACUGGAUAGGACAUCAUAAAACACAUGUUUAGAUGUUUAAAGGAGCAAUCCACCAUAAGAGGGGCCUGCGGCGCAUUAGCUAGUUGGUGAGAUAAAGGCCCACCAAGGCGAUGAUGCGUAGCCGGACUGAGAGGUUGAACGGCCACAAUGGGACUGAGAACGGCCCAUACUCCUACGGGAGGCAGCAGUAGGGAAUUUUCGGCAAUGGACAAAAGUCUGACCGAGCAAUGCCGCGUGAUCGAAGAAGUAUUUCGGUAUGUAAAGAUCUUUUAUCAGGGAAGAAAAGACAGAUUGACUGAACCUGAUGAAUAAGCUCCGGCUAACUACGUGCCAGCCGCCGC